CUGAUAUGCCCAAGGUCGUGCAGCUGCCGGGCGGCGGCUAACCGGGCUGGAAUCUGGGUCCCCCGAUUGCCCGGCCUCUGUGCACCCUUCCCGCAGCCUCGUGGGCGCUGGGUCUAGGGCUAGGCCCUGAGUCCCGUCAGGUGCCCCUGCAAAUAGUCUAAUUUUGGGGAAAGCCGGACAGUGUGGGAUGAAGACUAGUGUUUUGCAAAUCACUGUAGGGCCACAGCGCUGGCGUGUAGGUGGCUGGCGAAAUCAGAUGUCAGCCCUGUUUUUGACCACGACACGGGAACGUGAAUACGGAGGGUGGGCAGCAUUAAUUGGGAAAGUUUUUAGCACCCAGGACAGUAGGGUGUUUUGGGAAAGAUGAGCUUGGACAGGGUUUCUUUUAUGUUAUCCGGGUGUGUAUGGCCGUGAAAUUCACUGUUAACCUGGGCCCCAUAAUUCCGGUCCCAGGGAUUAAAGUAAGCCCUGAGGACAGUGCAUAGUAAUCCAGAAAUAAACACACUUCUCCCCGCCCAGAAAUGUUGGAAGAUCUAGGGGUUUAUGUUUUGGUUCCUUAUUUUGCUAGCGCUUCAUGUUUGCCAACAUUUGUUUGAUUAGCAGGCGUUUUUGUGUGUGGGUGUUUGUCUUGGAGCGUUUAUUCCUGUUUACAGGGGACCACGUGGCGCAGGCCUGGACAGAGCCCCGGACAGGACCUGAGGCCUGGGCUCCAGGCUAAGUUUGGCCUUAGCUGGCCAUGGGACCCUGGUCUCAGUUACCAAACAACCCUCAUCUAUUCGAGAAAAGACCGGACUGCAGAGGCAAACCUGCUGGAUGUCAGCGCACGGGGAGAACUCGGGGGUUCAGGGGAGGGGUCGGAGGAUCUCUUGGUUUUUCAUGCGGAAAGAUGUCCCCUGACCCGCCGGGAAGUUGGGUGAAGGCGAAUAGACAGGGCUCAGGGUGGCGAGGAGCAGGCUGCUUUCCCACCGCUGGUGGUCACCGCCACAUCUCUCAGCCCGCUGACCAAGUUUUGUGAUCCCUGCCACAACUGGGAAUGUUUUUGCUGGUGCCGAACACCGGAACUUUCCAGAAACACAAGCUACAGGCUGCUGGCCCGGACUCAGGGCUCCCUGAGCCGUCUGCUCCUGCGCGCGAGCUGACCACAGGCCCUGUGACCCAGAUGCACCUGUUUGCCAGCUGCUCCUGGGACAGGACAGUCCAUGCGCGCCGUGUGCCUGGUUUCCAGGAAGUCCACGUCCUUUUGAUGAAACCUUCCUCUGUGUGCACGGGCCUUCCGAGGCAACCAGCAUGGGUUUACGAAAGGGACAAGCCACACAGGUCAUGGGGUCAUGGGGCCCCCCUCCCCCACAAGGUGCACUCCUGGGCAAGAGCAUUUCCUGCGCUGAGCUCGGCAUGUGGCAGAGCGCUGCUCAAGGCGGGCUGCCUUCGGACUUCGAUUUUUUUGGACAAACAGAAAUGUAUCCGCACCGUGUGGGAAUAAGAGUGUACCCUCCUAAUAUUCCCGUAUUCAUUGCAGCAAGUAGUAGUCUUUGCCCUGCCUUUUUGGGGAAGGUGCACUUAAAAUAGUUGGAGGGGCUUGAUGGGGG